rnacentral:rRNA from 1 species
GACGAACGCUGGCGGCGUGCCUAAUACAUGCCAGUCGAGCGCUGAAGGUUGGUACUUGUACCAACUGGAUGAGCAGCGAACGGGUGAGUAACGCGUGGGGAAUCUGCCUUUGAGCGGGGGACAACAUUUGGAAACGAAUGCUAAUACCGCAUAAAAACUUUAAACACAAGUUUUAAGUUUGAAAGAUGCAAUUGCAUCACUCAAAGAUGAUCCCGCGUUGUAUUAGCUAGUUGGUGAGGUAAAGGCUCACCAAGGCGAUGAUACAUAGCCGACCUGAGAAGGUGAGCGGCCACGAUGGGACUGGGACACGGCCCAAACUCCUACGGGAGGGAGCAGUAGGGGAUCUUAGGCAAUGGACGGAAGGCUGACCGAGCAACGCCGCGUGAGUGAAGAAGGUUUUCGGAUCGGAAAAGUCUGUUGGUGGGGAAAAAAGUGGGUGGUAGUGGAAAGCUCAUCAAGUGACGGUAACUACACAGAAAGGGACGGCUAACUACGUG